rnacentral:rRNA from 1 species
AGAUACCCGGGUAGUCCACGCCCUAAACGAUGGAUGCUAGGUCUUUGGGGAUUUAACCCUUUGAGGGCCAAAGCUAACGCGAUAAGCAUCCCGCCUGAGGACUACGGCCGCAAGGCUAAAACUCAAAGGAAUUGACGGGUGCCCGCACAAGCAGCGGAGCGUGUGGUUUAAUUCGAUGAUAAGCGAAGAACCUUACCCAGGCUUGACAUAUUGGUUGUACCUGGCCGAAAGGUCGGGGACCCUUCGGGGAAGCCUUUACAGGUGUUGCAUGGCCGUCGUCAG